AAAAGAUCGCAUAAUGAAAAUAUGAAAGCAGAGAAAUUUGGUAGUUCUACCGCGCGCGCGCCUGAGAAGUACGCAAUCUGGGGUCCUUAAGCAAUCAACAGUUAUGUAAGUCAUCUGUAAUCUGCCCUCCAGAAGUUAUGUAAAUCAGAGGAAUCCAGCUUGGAACCAAAGGCUGCAAUUGACGGUGGAAGUGGAUCAUAUGCUUCACUGAAUGGUAGGAAUUGAAUCUUCUUGGGAAAUUUACAUUUCUUAAUAGUUCAUAUUUCUGGCUUCUCUCUUUAUCUUCAAUCGUCUGUGAUCAAUUUGUUUUCAGGAAAGAAGGGUGAUGUUAUUAUUGGAUGUCAUUUAAUCAGGGAUUACUCUGUACUUCUUUAUAUCAAUGUUGAAGUGAUAAUAAUGUUUCCAGAUUUCUGACA